CCGGCAAACGGGUGCGGAACACGUACGCAACCUCCCUUCGAAUAAGGAAUAGCCCGGGGAAACCCGGAUUAAUACUUUAUAAAAUAACAGAGUGGCAUCACUCAAUUAUUAAAGCUUCGGCGUUUGAAGAUGGGCGUGCGACUGAUUAGAUAGUUGGCGGGGUAACGGCCCACCAAGUCUGCGAUCAGUAACUGGUGUGAGAGCACGACCAGUCACACGGGCACUGAGACACGGGCCCG
rnacentral:rRNA from 1 species